rnacentral:misc_RNA from 1 species
UUUCCGUAGGUGAACCUGCGGAAGGACCAUUAACGAGUUAGGGUCUUCCAGGCCCGACCUCCCAACCCUAUGUUUAUUGAACCUCUGUUGCUUCGGCGGACCCGCCUCACGGCCGCCGGAGGACCGCUGCAAGGCGUCCUCUGGCCAGCGUCCGCCGAUGGCCAACCACUUAAACUCUGAAUGAAUCGUGUCAUAUGUCUAAGUCUAUGAUUAAAUUAAAGCAAAACUUUCAACAACGGAUCUCUUGGUUCUG